GAUGAACGCUGGCGGCGUGCUUAACACAUGCAAGUCGAACGAGAAAUGUAGACGGAAACCUUCGGGCGGAAGCCUUCAUUUCGAGUGGCGGACGGGUGAGUAACGCGUGGGUAACCUGCCUCAUACAGGGGGAUAACAGUUGGAAACGACUGUUAAUACCGCAUAAGACCACAGCAUCGCAUGAUGCGGGGGUAAAAACUCCGGCGGUAUGAGAUGGACCCGCGUUCGAUUAGCCAGUUGGCGGGGUAACGGCCCACCAAAGCGACGAUCGAUAGCCGAUCUGAGAGGAUGACCGGCCACAUUGGGACUGAGACACGGCCCAAACUCCUACGGGAGGCAGCAGUGGGGAAUAUUGCACAAUGGGGGAAACCCUGAUGCAGCGACGCCGCGUGAGUGAAGAAGUACUUCGGUAUGUAAAGCUCUAUCAGCAGGGAAGAAAAUGACGGUACCUGAGUAAGAAGCCCCGGCUAACUACGUG
rnacentral:rRNA from 1 species